GUGCCAGCCGCCGCGGUAAUACGUAGGUGGCAAGCGUUGUCCGGAUUUAUUGGGCGUAAAGCAUGUGCAGGCGGUUUCUUAAGUGUGAUGUGAAAUCCCAGGGCUUAACCUGGGGGGUUCAUUUCAAACUGGAUGACUUGAGUGCAGGAGAGGAAAGUAGAAUUCCAAGUGUAGCGGUGAAAUGCGUAGAGAUUAGGAAGAAAACCAGUGGCGAAGGCGACUUUCUGGACUGAAACUGACGCUGAG
rnacentral:rRNA from 1 species